rnacentral:rRNA from 1 species
CCUACGGGGGGCUGCAGUCGAGGAUCUUCGUCAAUGGGCGCAAGCCUGAACGAGCGACGCCGCGUGCGGGAUGAAGGCCUUCGGGUUGUAAACCGCUGUCGAGGGGGAGAAAGGCCGGGUCACACCGGCUUGAUCGAUCCCUGGAGGAAGGACGGGCUAAGUUCGUGCCAGCAGCCGCGGUAAGACGAACCGUCCUAACGUUGUUCGGAAUCACUGGGCUUAAAGGGCGCGUAGGCGGCCCGCAUAGUCGGGGGUGAAAGCCUGCGGCUUAACCGCAGAAGUGCCUCCGAGACUGGCGGGCUCGAGGGGGGUAGGGGCAGGGGGAACUUCCGGUGGAGCGGUGAAAUGCGUUGAUAUCGGAAGGAACGCCGGCGGCGAAAGCGCCCUGCUGGACCCCUUCUGACGCUGAGGCGCGAAAGCCAGGGGAGCGAACGGGAUUA